AUCCCACGCCGCCCUGGACGUGCCCUACCCCAUCUCAUCUGAGAAGCUAAGCAGGGUCUGGCCAGUUAGUACUGGGAUGGGAGGCUGCUUGUUUUUAACAACCAGCGUGAUC
rnacentral:rRNA from 1 species